CCGGCGACCGGCGCACGGGUGAGUAACACGUAUGCAACCUGGCCGUGACAGAUGGAUAACCGGGAGAAAUCCCGCCUAAUACAGCAUGACGCCGGGAAGGGACAUCCCUUUCCGGCCAAAGGGGGCGACUCCGGUCACGGAUGGGCAUGCGGCGCAUUAGGUAGUUGGUGGGGCAACGGCCCACCAAGCCGACGAUGAGUAGGGGUUCUGAGAGGAAGGUCCCCCACAUUGGAACUGAGACACGGUCCAAACUCCUACGGGAGGCAGCAG
rnacentral:rRNA from 1 species